rnacentral:rRNA from 1 species
AUUGAACGCUGGCGGCAGGCCUAACACAUGCAAGUCGAGCGAGCGGCGGACGGGUGAGUAAUGUCUGGGGAUCUGCCUGAUAGAGGGGGAUAACUACUGGAAACGGUGGCUAAUACCGCAUACCAUCGGAUGUACCCAUAUGGGAUUAGCUAGUAGGUGGGGUAAAGGCUCACCUAGGCGACGAUCCCUAGCUGGUCUGAGAGGAUGACCAGCCACACUGGAACUGAGACACGGCCCAGACUCCUACGGGAGGCAGCAGUGGGGAAUAUUGCGCAAUGGGCGAAAGUCUGACGCAGCAACGCCGCGUGAGUGAAGAAGGUUUUCGGGUCGUAAAGCACUGUCAGUGAGGAGGCGGUACCUGAAGAAGAAGCAACGGCUAACUACGUGCCAGCAGCCGCGGUAAUAC